GACGAACGCUGGCGGCGUGCUUAACACAUGCAAGUCGAACGGAAAGGCCCUGCUUUUGUGGGGUGCUCGAGUGGCGAACGGGUGAGUAACACGUGAGUAACCUUCCCUUGACUUUGGGAUAACUUCAGGAAACUGGGGCUAAUCCCGGAUAGGAGCUCCUGCUGCAUGGUGGGUGUUGGAAAGUUUCGGCGGUUGGGGAUGGACUCGCGGCUUAUCAGCUUGUUGGUGGGGUAGUGGCUUACCAAGGCUUUGACGGGUAGCCGGCCUGAGAGGGUGACCGGCCACAUUGGGACUGAGAUACGGCCCAGACUCCUACGGGAGGCAGCAGUGGGGAAUAUUGCACAAUGGGCGGAAGCCGGAUGCAGCAACGCCGCGUGCGGGAUGACGGCCUUCGGGUUGUAAACCGCUUUCGCCUGUGACGAAGCGUGAGUGACGGUAAUGGGUAAAGAAGCACCGGCUAACUACGUG
rnacentral:rRNA from 1 species